UUCUUCAAAAUGUCACUUUCCCUCUCCCUCAUAUCUCCAUAGUUAAACCUCCAUUAAAGCUUGUCUUCAAGCUUUAAAACCCUUACCAAAUCCCAACUUCUUCCAUAAUCACUCCAUAAAACCUUAUUCCCUUCCCUUGAGAAAGAAAUUUAACAAGAAAGAAAGAAGAAAAGAGGAGAAAAAUUGAAGAUUGGAUAUCAAAGUUGAGUUGGAAAGAAUACCGGGAAAGAACCCGAGGAACCGAGUCAAGGCCAAGAGGCGACUCGCUUGAGAUAUAGAGACUAGAGGAGCAGCAGAUUGAGCUGCUGAGGACAGGGGAGCUACCUGCUAGAAGUUAUCGGGUAUAAUUUAUACCCUAACUGUAAAUAUCUCUUUUGAUGUAUAUAUUGCACAUAAAUAUAUGGACAUGUAAAAAUGGGUCUUGAGCAAUUUGUAUAAAAUUUGUA